rnacentral:lncRNA from 1 species
CUCAUCAAGAAUGUGGUGACACGUCUUUAGGGUAUGGAGAGAGGUUAGCAGAAGUUGCUUUCAAAGUGACUGUAUUGUAUUAUAUUCUAUCUCCUCUGGCAGCAUAAAUUCUGCUCAUCUUCUUCACAACAGAAUCCAUUGGUAGGAAGACAUAACAUAUUGUUGAAAGCAGCUAGCAUGCAUGCCCACUAAAGACAACGCAACUUUUGAUCUGUUCUCCAAAAAUUUUAUCCAACAAAAGAUAAGAUGAACAAGAAAUGAUCCUCGUAGUAACCUUGAAAAAAGGAGGGACCAACAACACACAACAUCAAAUGCCAACAAAGGACGAUAGAUAGAUAUAUAACUGGCCAAAUCAGUGAAAAGAAGAAAACACUGCCACCAAGUAAUCAGGUACUCUUACUAUCACUCACAAAUGCAGUUGUCAGCAUGUCCUAGAGACACGAGAGAUAUUGUCAAUAUAAUCAUGGCUUCUUAUGCCUUCUAUGUUGUCAUAAUAAAGCUCUUAUUCUUAUACAGAAAGAAAUACAUAACAAUGCUAGGUAGGUAAAAUUCGAGAUUCAGAAACCAGAAUGAAGCACAGUUCAGCCAAUCAAUCAAGCUUGGGAAACAAGGCUCAAUAAUUGAUUAUACGUACUCUAUACAGAAUCCUCUAAAUUAUAAUUUGCAAGAAUACCAUAUAUCACCAAGUGUAAAAGAUCAAAGAACUUGUAUAUCACUCAAGCCACACCCUUUGGAUAUUUUUUUUAUCAUAUUAGGUUAAAUUAUUCAUUUAUUCUUUAUUCUUUAUGAUUGUCCCUAAGUUUUAGGUUCUACAUGAAAAAAAAUAUAAUUCUCAUGC